GCCAGAGUGGAGUAGUGGUUUGAGUGUUGGACUGCGAAUCUGGAGGCCAGGGUUCAAUUCCCCAUGUGGCC